UCCGAGCCUGCGGCGGGGAACGCGCACCCUCCCCCCCGUGGACGGCGCCCACUCGUGUGGGGCAGAGGCACCGUCCCCUGUCCGUGGGACGCCUUGUCUCAGACACGCAGCUUCUCCAGCGGUGGGAAGCUCGGGUGGACACGUACACAAAAGCAGCUAUGCUGGCAAAGCACAUGGACCUCAGGGUCCAGAGGACUUACUUUUCUUUUGAACUUCAACUUCAAUGAAACUAAACAAGGUGGAGCUAGCUGUUCCAUCUUGAACGAGUCACACCCAUUCUAAGCUUUAGUUUGACCGUUAAGUAAAAUUCUUAAAGUAUUAACGUCUACUGAACUGAAUGUUAGGAGAAUCAGAAAAAAAUAUACACGGGAAGUGCCUGACGUGCAUAUCAAACUACAAAAUGGGAGAGUGACAUUUGGUUGAUACACGUGUACGGGAGAGUCGGGCCCCCCUUUCACCUGACCGAUAUAUAAAGCAUCAGUAAGAAGUCCUCGGACAAGAACUUCAAUUUGACAUCAUCAAGCAAGAAAAUCCACUUUUCCAGAGAACAUUAAACUGACAUUACUUUCUGAUGAUUUCAGAGGUAGUAAGGGGCAAAAUGAAUAAAUCAUUAAAAUGUUCAUUGUGAAUUUUGAAAAAGUCCAGAAUGCUUCUUAUUACAACCCAUAUUUAACUUUCUUAGAUGCUAUUCAAAUUCCUGUCAAAGAAAAGUGAUUGAAAGUAUGUCCACUGUAUCAUGGAACAUGCAGGGUGACAAUUGUCAUGCAGUAUAUUCACACAUAAAAUAAUUGAGCUGCCAUAGCCCAUGGAAAUGAUGGCAACUUCAUUGUGUCCCUAGCAAGCUCUUUGACACAACCUAGCGGGAGAGUCAAAGAAUCAGGCCAGCAGGGGGCCACAUCUAUUCAAUAGCGGGUUGGGGUAUGGACAGCUAUGUCCUAUAUCACAUUAAAGGGAUGUCGGAGCCAUCAAAAUGCUACUCCAUCUUCCAAAAAUAUAAAGGGUUUCAUACAAAAUUUCAACUUCAUAUCUUUAUUCUCUUUCUAAAAAUUAAAGCAUAUAAUUAGUUCAUAAUAGGAGCUAAAUGAGUUGCAAAAGUUUAUGAUUUACUGAGAGAAUUUCUUUAAGCUUCUGAGUAUCUAAAACACUUUUUAUCCCAUUAUAAAAUACAGAUUGGAAGUUUAUGUUUUGCAUUGAUGUAUUUUAUUGGGGCUUUUGGCUCAGUUGAUGUUUCUCAGCCAUGUUAAAAUCUUCAGAACAACAUGGUCUAAAAUGCAGAAGAUUGCAUGACUUUAACAAUUCCACAUCCUGUGUGAAUGUUAUGUCCCUGACUUAAAGGGUUUCCUUUAAAGAGUCAGUUUUUCUAUGGUUUAAAUUGAGCAUACCAGUCUCACAGCAUCAGAGAACAGUAAAGGGGAGCUGGGAUUCGAGCCUACUCUUUCAGUAAAGGGCUUUUUCCAGUAUCCAACUGUGGGUCUAAUUUAUUCUCCUGAGAUUCCCCAUUCUAGUAUUUCUAAAUGAUCUUGUAUAUGGCAGGGUUUUAAGUAACCCGAUUAUGCUCUUACUUUUACAUCAUAGGCAAAGAAUUAGAAAAGCUGUCCUUGUACAAUUUGACCCACUUCCCUAAAGACUUUUUAACCUGAAGCAAAAUCCAUUUAACCGGCCAAGGCUAGCACUCUGAUAACAGUAGCUGCCAGCUGGGCGGACAGUUCCAUGAUGCACACAGGCAUCCACGUUGACUCCAGACGAUCCUGGGACAUGAUAUUUAAUUCACACUUCAGAAAAGGUGUUAUAGAUUAGUCGUCCACUGCAGUAGGAUUUUUCACAAUUAUGAGAGUCAACUAGAUUUGUAGAUUUGUUCUGUCUCACCGGAACCACCCACAUAAAGAACUUUAUAAUUCUUCUAUCCCUUUCCAUUUCAUUAUUUUUCAAGGUAAAAUAACCUCUUGGCUAUGUAUAAAUAUUACUCUUUAAUAUUUAUAAAAUCAAUCAUCUUAUUUACAAGACACAGAAAGCCAUUUUAUAAAGUUUGAUGAUAUAAUAGAUAUGAAAAUAGCAUAAUGUUGUAAUAUUAUUAACUAUGAAAUGCUUUAGAAGAUAAAUAAAACACCCUUUUCGACUGUCUUUCCUUCAAAUAUCAUUCAGUUAAUCAUGGAUUAACUGAAUACUCUGGAUACUCUAGAAUGCAUUAAUAUAAUAGCUUUAAAUUUAUCUCCAGGAUAAGGACAUAAAGGAUGUGUGAAUUUUUAAUGAAACUUCAAGUUUUGUUUUUUUUUUUAAGACCAAGUAUGUACUAAUUAUUACUAGGUUUGGCAUGAUCUGUGCUAUUUAUCUUUUAAAAACAGUGAAAUGAAGGUGAAUUAAAACCAUGAUGGACAUUGAUAUUCUGUUUUUUUUUUUUUAAUGUUUCUUCAUGACUAUCCAACCAUGUUUACCCUUUCUGCAUUUCUCUUUAAUAAUUCAGACCAACCUGAAUGACAGCAAGUGAUAGGAGUGUAACAGUUCAUCUAGGGGGUUAACUGCAAUUGAACUUUGCCCAAAACAAUCGGUUCAACUGCAUUUUCAUAAGAACAAGUGUUACUUAAUUUCCAAGAACGAAUGCUUAGCCCAGUAGCAAGAGCUUGGAAAAAUUAAGAAGCCAAUACUUCCAACAGGAUCAUUCAGCUGUGCACUGUGUAGUCAGUGAGAUGUUCUUGUGACAUGAUAGCCACUCAUGAAGUCACAUAGCAACAUCACCGUUACUGAUAUUGGCACCGUGGUGAGUAAAGUCAACAUAAGAAAUUAAGAUAAUCUGAAACACCUUUCUAUGUUCUAUUCUACUUCUUUUCUAAUCUUAGCAUUUGUGGAAACACUUAUACAAACUUUACAACCACUAAAUUAGUACUUUUGUAAAUAGAAAGAACGAAAAUAUAUAUAUAUAUAUUUGUUUCAAGACUCAAAGAAUAAAGUAUUUUUUAAACUUCUCAUCUUCCUUUUACUGGAAAGAACCAUUUAAAUGUAUUGAGUGUAUAAAAAUCGAUGAUCCGUGUGAUUAACUUAGACCAUUUUGAAAAUCACAGUAUUUAAACUUAUAAUAUGAGCAUACAUUCCAGUUUGUCUGAUUAAAGUAUGAGCACACAAGCAAAGUAAACAUAGAAUAUAAUAAAGUUAUUUCUUCCAGCUUUCCUUGAAAUGGACAUUCCAGAAAAGCCAGUGUGGCUGACUUAGAAAUCAUCCUAAUUUUAGUUAAAACUCUCGUCAUGGGCAAAUUUCUCCCAAUAUUUAUUUUCAGCAUUAUUGUGUGUCAAUAAUGUAACAAAGUUACAUAAUGUUACAAAUACAUAGCAUUAUGUUACAAUAAUGUAACAUAAAGGAAAUACUAAACUAUUUUACUGCAAUGCACAAUUAAAAUGGUUCUCACAUUGAACUUUAUAACAAUUCUUAAGUUACUUUAUUUAAAACAUUAAUAUUAAUAUGUGAUUCUAACAAAAUUAUUAUUUUUUAAACAGGAAUAGUCUAUGGGUUUUAGCCUGUAGCAGGAAUGGCUGUCUCAGUAGAAUUAUAGUUCUUGACGUGAAACUGCUUUAAAAAUCAUCAGCUCGUAUUGCAGCAUUGGUAGCAAUUAGGUAAAUACAUUUCUCUUUAGACUUUGCACUGGAUUCCCAUCCCUGCCAACUGUGCAUUUCCUUUCAUAUAUAUCCUCAUCAAUUGGAAAGCACCUUAAAAGAAUCAACCUAGGUUUGAAAUCAUCUUUUAUUGCACUAAAGGACAACUUAAUCUUGUUUUCUGAAGCAGCAAAGUAUAAUUUUAUUUACCGCCCCAUCAAUAAGAUCCUGAAACUUGAGAUUUAUAAUAUCUGUUGGAUAUCCGGAUAAACAGAUAUUAUAAAUAUCUGUUUAUCUCAGGGAGAGAAAAAAGAACUAUUCAAUAAUUAUGGGAAAUAUUUAGUUUUUGUUCUUGAGAUACAUAUUUCUCUUAUACUUUCAUUAAAAAAACUCAAAGUAAAUUAUAUCAUCAUAUUUUUAUUUACUUGUAUUCCAAGAAAUAAUGAACUACUUAGAUUAGAAACAAAGAAUAUGAACUACAUUCUAUUAAAACAAUGUAGAGGGUGUUUAAAAAAAAAAAAGCAAGUGACUGAUAAGCCACUUAGGUUUCUUCUUUUUUAAAAU